GUGGGGAAUCUUCCGCAAUGGACGAAAGUCUGACGGAGCGACGCCGCGUGAGUGAAGAAGGCCUUCGGGUCGUAAAGCUCUGUCAUCAGGGACGAACGGCCGGUGGAGUGGAAAGCCACCGGAUUGACGGUACCUGAGAAGGAAGCCACGGCUAACUACGUGCCAGCAGCCGCGGUAAUACGUAGGUGGCAAGCGUUGUCCGGAAUUAUUGGGCGUAAAGCGCGCGCAGGUGGGAUCUUAAGUCCAUUUUUAAAGUUCGGAGCUCAACUCCGUGAUGGGAUGGAAGCUGGGAUUCUUGAGUACCGGAGAGGAAAGCGGAAUUCCCCGUGUAGCGGUGAAAUGCGUAGAUAUGGGGAGGAACACCAGUGGAGAAGGCGGCUUUCUGGACGGUGUCUGACACUGAGGCGCGAAAGCCAGGGGAGCGAACGGGAUUAGAAACCCCUGUAGUCC
rnacentral:rRNA from 1 species